UGCCAGCCGCCGCGGUAAUACGGAGGGUCCGAGCGUUAUCCGGAAUCAUUGGGUUUAAAGAGUUCGUAGGUGGUUGAAAAAGUUGGUGGUGAAAUCCCAAGGCUCAACCUUGGAACUGCCAUCAAAACUUUUUAGCUAGAGUGUGAUAGAGGUAAGUGGAAUUUCUAGUGUAGAGGUGAAAUUCGUAGAUAUUAGAAAGAACACCAAAUGCGAAGGCAACUUACUGGGUCACUACUGACACUGAGGAGCGAAAGCAUGGGUAGCGAAGAGGAUUAGAUA
rnacentral:rRNA from 1 species